rnacentral:rRNA from 1 species
GACGAACGCUGGCGGCGUGCUUAACACAUGCAAGUCGAACGGAAAGGCCCUGCUUUUGUGGGGUGCUCGAGUGGCGAACGGGUGAGUAACACGUGAGUAACCUGCCCUUGACUUUGGGAUAACUUCAGGAAACUGGGGCUAAUACCGGAUAGGAGCUCCUGCUGCAUGGUGGGGGUUGGAAAGUUUCGGCGGUUGGGGAUGGACUCGCGGCUUAUCAGCUUGUUGGUGGGGUAGGGGCUUACCAAGGCUUUGACGGGUAGCCGGCCUGAGAGGGUGACCGGCCACAUUGGGACUGAGAUACGGCCCAGACUCCUACGGGAGGCAGCAGGGGGGAAUAUUGCACAAUGGGCGGAAGCCUGAUGCAGCAACGCCGCGUGCGGGAUGACGGCCUUCGGGUUGUAAACCGCUUUCGCCUGUGACGAAGCGUGAGUGACGGUAAUGGGUAAAGAAGCACCGGCUAACUACGUG